rnacentral:rRNA from 1 species
AACGAACGCUGGCGGCAUGCCUAACACAUGCAAGUCGAACGAGACCUUCGGGUCUAGUGGCGCACGGGUGCGUAACGCGUGGGAACCUGCCCUUAGGUUCGGAAUAACUCCCCGAAAGGGGUGCUAAUACCGGAUAAUGUCUUCGGCCCAAAGAUUUAUCGCCUUUGGAUGGGCCCGCGUUGGAUUAGCUAGUUGGUAGGGUAAAAGCCUACCAAGGCGACGAUCCAUAGCUGGUCUGAGAGGAUGAUCAGCCACACUGGGACUGAGACACGGCCCAGACUCCUACGGGAGGCAGCAGAGGGGAAUAGUGGACAAUGGGCGAAAGGCUGAUCCAGCAAUGACGCGUGAGUGAUGAAGGCCUUAGGGUUGUAAAGCUCUUUUACCCGGGAUGAUAAUGACAGUACCGGGAGAAUAAGCUCCGGCUAACUCCGUG